rnacentral:rRNA from 1 species
GGCUUAACACAUGCAGUCGAGCGCGUAGCAAUACGAGCGGCAGACGGGUGAGUAACGCGUGGGAAUCUACCCUUUUCUACGGAAUAACGCAGGGAAACUUGUGCUAAUACCGUAUGAGCCCUUCGGGGGAAAGAUUUAUCGGGAAAGGAUGAGCCCGCGUUGGAUUAGCUAGUUGGUGGGGUAAAGGCCUACCAAGGCGACGAUCCAUAGCUGGUCUGAGAGGAUGAUCAGCCACAUUGGGACUGAGACACGGCCCAAACUCCUACGGGAGGCAGCAGUGGGGAAUAUUGGACAAUGGGCGCAAGCCUGAUCCAGCCAUGCCGCGUGAGUGAUGAAGGCCCUAGGGUUGUAAAGCUCUUUCACCGGUGAAGAUAAUGACGGUAACCGGAGAAGAAGCCCCGGCUAACUUCGUGCCAGCAG